UACGUAGGGUGCGAGCGUUAAUCGGAAUUACUGGGCGUAAAGGGUGCGCAGGCGGUUAUAUAAGACAGAUGUGAAAUCCCCGGGCUCAACCUGGGAACUGCGUUUGUGACUGUAUGACUAGAGUACGGUAGAGGGGGGUGGAAUUCCUGGUGUAGCAGUGAAAUGCGUAGAUAUCAGGAGGAACAUCGAUGGCGAAGGCAGCCCCUUGGACCUGUACUGACGCUCAUGCACGAAAGCGUGGGGAGCAAACAGG
rnacentral:rRNA from 1 species